CUCAUAAAAAAGUGAAUUGAAUUCUGCUGCAAAUAAGUCAUCAUUAACACACAUUUCCUUUUCGUUUUUCUUUUUUUACUGUAGCCAUUGAUAUUUUAACGAAAUUAGAAGCACCCCAUUAAGUGGUAUCAUAACUUUUUAAGCUGAUAUUGUAUUUUUCCCCCCAUUUCGAAUGGAGCCCUGUCAAGACGCUGUAAUGUAUGAAAAAUUGCAAAUCUAACCUCAAAAUUACAAAAAUGGCGAAGUUUCUUCUUUGUGGUAUUGAUCCUUAGCCAUCAGUAUAUUAGUUGAGGGACUUGGACAAGGCGCACAAGUGUAACUUUUGAAAAAAUUGAGAUAUUAAUGAUUCCAAGUCAAACUAGUCUUAAUGCAUACUCUGUGAAAAAGUCGCUCCCGAAUUCCAAGUUUUAAGCAUCAAAACUUCAGUUUGAACUUUCUUUCCGCCACAAGGAUCCAUGUAAUUUUGAAACUUCAAACACGCAUUCCUUGAAAUAACAAUAACUGCACGUAAAAGCCUUGUCCUCCAAGCCCUUCAAUUCUACAAUUUUGAACAAAAUUACGAAACUUCCAAGUUGUGUAGUCUUUGAAAGCAGUCAUUCACUUGUGAUAGAAUAUUUGCCUCUUCUCAGUUGAAUAUAUUGAAAUCAACCAUAAUAGCUAUCCCGAAUCUCCUCUAUCUAUAUUCCCCCGACGCCCGACAACAAUGUCUCGGCGCCGGGCGUGUAAUUACCGCGGAUUAACAUCGCAACUCCCGAGUAGGCAGUUGGGUCAUCACACGUACUUUUAAUUUUAGUUACGCUCUGAAAAUGCGUACAUAUUAACCAUAUCGGCUAGUCGCACAAAUGACUAUAUACGCAUAAACAUUAACUUAUUCCCCUUAGUCUAGUCUCAGUCUGGAUGCGGCGCAGGACGCCUGGAUCGCAUUGUACACCUACCGUGUUUACCGUAGGCUUUAGGAUGACCUUUGUCAAAUCCAUCAGAAUCACGGUUCCUCGGGUCAAUAUGUUUAAUAGUCAUAGCAUCAGAGACCACUGCACAAUUUUAUGAUAAUCAAAAGUUCAUAACUGGGCUCAAGUUGGCAUUAAAUAUGUACAGACAGUGUGAAAAGCAAGACAUAAUGAUAUGCUUGAAGUCAAGAGCCCUUAAAAUUAAUAGAGCGGGCGUCGAACUCAAAAAGUAUUCCUAUCUAUGAUGGUAGUAUAAAUUGUAAUAUUUUAUGGUUUUUUUCGUAAUCGGUUUCAAGAAUUAUUUCUAAGUGGGUUUUUUCAGUAGACAUUUCAUUUGAUG
rnacentral:lncRNA from 1 species